UCCAUGUGUGUAUUGAAAAAAAAUGAAUAUCUUGGCAUCACUGAUGUCAAAGAAUCAGUCCUUUGGUUGUUGUCUUUAGUCAGAGCCAAAAAAUUAUCACCAGAUAUAUCAAGGAGCUCACCACCUGUAUUUUUCUCUUGAGUUUUGUGAUUUCAAGUCUUAUGUAUUAAAAUCCAUGAAAAGAAAAAAAAGAAUUUAUUUCUAAUUUUCCCAAAUAUCUUCCAAGAGAAAAUCAGUGCAAUUGCUUCAUAUACAAAGAGAAUAAUAAGCAAGGAGUUGGAUGACAAUGCUGGAUAAAAAUGGAGCAAGAGUUAAAGAAUAGUUUAUGAUGAAUGUCAUCAAGCUAUUAAGCACAUGCAUAAACCCCAUUAUGUAUGGAAGACAUGGGUUUUGAAAUC